rnacentral:rRNA from 1 species
CAGCAGUGAGGAAUAUUGGGCAAUGGAGGCAACUCUGACCCAGCCAUGCCGCGUGCAGGAAGACGGCCCUAUGGGUUGUAAACUGCUUUUAUACAGGAAGAAACACUAGUACGUGUACUAGCUUGACGGUACUGUAAGAAUAAGGACCGGCUAACUCCGUGCCAGCAGCCGCGGUAAUACGGAGGGUCCGAGCGUUAUCCGGAAUCAUUGGGUUUAAAGGGUCCGCAGGCGGUCAAUUAAGUCAGAGGUGAAAUCCCAUAGCUUAACUAUGGAACUGCCUUUGAUACUGGUUGACUUGAGUCAUAUGGAAGUAGAUAGAAUGUGUAGUGUAGCGGUGAAAUGCAUAGAUAUUACACAGAAUACCGAUUGCGAAGGCAGUCUACUACGUAUGUACUGACGCUCAUGGACGAAAGCGUGGGGAGCGAACAGGAUUAGAUACCCUGGUAGUCCACGCCGUAAACGAUGGAUACUAGUUGUUGGGCAUUAGCUCAGUGACUAAGCGAAAGUGAUAAGUAUCCCACCUGGGGAGUACGGUCGCAAGACUGAAACUCAAAGGAAUUGACGGGGGCCCGCACAAGCGGUGGAGCAUGUGGUUUAAUUCGAUGAUACGCGAGGAACCUUACCAGGGCUUAAAUGUAGUAUGACAGGUUUAGAGAUAGACUUUUCUUCGGACAUAUUACAAGGUGCUGCAUGGUUGUCGUCAGCUCGUGCCGUGAGGUGUCAGGUUAAGUCCUAUAACGAGCGCAACCCCUGUCGUUAGUUGCCAGCAAGUAAAGUUGGGGACUCUAACGAGACUGCCUAUCGAGGGGGGGGCCCGGUACCCAAUUCGCCCUAUAGUGAGUCGUAUUACGCGCGCUCACUGGCCGUCGUUUUUACAACGUCGUGACUGGAAAACCCUGGCGUUACCCAACUUAAUCGCCUUGCAGCACAUCCCCCUUUCGUCAGCUGGCGUAAUAGCGAGAGGCCCGCACCGAUCGCCCUUUCCUAACAGUGCGCAGCUGAUGCGAUGGAACGCGCCCUGUAGCGGGCGCAAUUAGCCGCGGUUGGGGUGUACGGCAAGCGUGACGGCUACACUUUGC